UCCGGUUUAACACCGGCAGUCUCCUCAGAGUGCCCAACUUAAUGGUGGCAACUAAGGACAAGGGUUGCGCUCGUUGCGGGACUUAACCCAACAUCUUACGACACGAGCUGACGACAGCCAUGCAGCACCUGUCUCUGUGUCCCCGAAGGGAAAAUAACAUCUCUGCUACGAUCACAGGAUGUCAAGCCUAGGUAAGGUUCUGCGCGUUGCUUCGAAUUAAACCACAUACUCCACCGCUUGUGCGGGCCCCCGUCAAUUCCUUUGAGUUUUAGUCUUGCGACCGUACUCCCCAGGCGGGAUACUUAAUGCGUGAGCUACGGUACCCAGGAGGUUAACAUCCCGGACACCUAGUAUCCAUAGUUUACGGCGUGGACUAC
rnacentral:misc_RNA from 1 species